rnacentral:rRNA from 1 species
CCCUUAGAUGUUCUGGGCCGCACGCGCGCUACAUUGAUACGUUCAACGAGUCCAAAACCUUGAUUGAUAGGUCUGGGUAAUCUUUUGAAGACGUAUCGUGCUAGGGAUAGAUUAUUGCAAUUAUUAAUCUUGAACGAGGAAUUCCUAGUAAACGCAAGUCAUCAGCUUGCACUGAUUACGUCCCUGCCCUUUGUACACACCGCCCGUCGCUACUACCGAUUGAAUGGUUUAGCAAGAUCUUCGGAUUGGCGCCUGAGCAGUUCUCUGCUCUUGGUGUCCGAGAAGAUGAUCAAACUUGAUCAUUUAGAGGAAGUAAAAGUCGUAACA